GAAAUAAAUUAUUUAAAAUUAAGCUUCUAACUUAAAUUUUUAAUAGUGAAAUUCUAUUAUUAUUUCU
rnacentral:tRNA from 1 species